rnacentral:lncRNA from 1 species
UGGAGGCCUUCGCCACCUUGGACAUGGUGCUGCUCAACGAAGGAUCGCAGUCUGCUGCGAGGCAUACAAAAGCGCGCGAAAGGAGUUGAAGAACGCCAUUAGAGACAGCAAAAGAGAAUGCUUUCCCAAGCUGUGCGACGCCGCCGAGGAGGACCCCUGGGCAGGCGCCUACAAAAUUGUGGUCAAGAACAUCAACGCCAGAAGCAAAGCCAAAACGGACCCAGUGGUGUUGAAGGGGAUCGUUAGGACCCUGUUCCCACAAGGGCGGCCAAUAACAAUAUCCCCGAGCCAGAACACAGCCUGGACGACAUCUGCGAGAUCACAGAAGAAGAGGUGCUGCAGGCAGGCAGAGACCUGAACCCUAAGAAAGCACUGGGGCCGGACGCGAUUCCUAACAACGCAACGAAGCUGGCAUUAGCGCUGAUCCCGAGCUAGGUCACGGUUCUGUUCAACAGAUACCUCCACGAGAGUACGUUCCCAGCGGGGUGGAAGAGGCAACGGCUCCUUUUUCUGUCCAAGCCGGGAAAGCCGCCAGGAGAGACGUCCUCCUACAGGCCCAUCUGCCUCCUGGAUACGAUAGGAAAGGUUUUUGAGAAGGUUAUCGCCAAGAGGCUGAGUGCAGACAUCGAAGCAGCAGGCGGUCUCUCCCCGGUGCAAUACACGAUACACUCGAAGUGGUCGCUCUCGAGAAUACUUCUGAACACCAGAGGCCCGAAGCAUGCAACGAGGGAGCUCCUGACGAGUGUAGUGACGUCGCAGAUCCUGUAUGCC